UACGUAGGGGGCAAGCGUUGUCCGGAUUUACUGGGCGUAAAGCGCGUGUAGGCGGAAGCGAAAGUCCGGUGUGAAAGCCCCCCGCUCAACGGGGGAAGGUCGCUGGAAACUACGCUUCUUGAGGGCGGCAGAGGGAAGUGGAAUUGCUGGUGUAGCGGUGAAAUGCGUAGAGAUCAGCAGGAACACCCGUGGCGAAGGCGGCUUCCUGGGCCGCGCCUGACGCUGAGACGCGAAAGCGUGGGGAGCGAACGGG
rnacentral:rRNA from 1 species